rnacentral:piRNA from 1 species
UGUGGAAUGGCGAGCUCUGUG